AAGGUUCAAAACUUCUAUUCUAUGAAGGGAGAUCUAGUCGCAGAAACAGAGAUCAAGAACGAAAAUGUAAAAAAGCAUGAAAAGAAGGGAUGUCAUUAGCUAGCUCAUUCGGGGUUUUCAGAUAGCCUAGACAGGUAGGAUUAAAAACAUUAUAAGUUAUGAGAUUGCUUGUGUACAGUACAGUGAUCGAGUCUAUGAAGGGAGACUAGUUGCAAAAACAGAGACCGAGAACGAAAAUG